AGAGUUUGAUCAUGGCUCAGAACGAACGCUGGCGGCGUGCCUAACACAUGCAAGUCGAACGAGAAAUCGGGCACUCAGGCAACUGAGUGCCGGAGAGUAAAGUGGCGCACGGGUGAGUAACACGUGGGUAACCUACCCCCGAAUCUGGGAUAACCUCGCGAAAGCGUUGCUAAUACCGGAUAUUGUCUUAUUGGUUUUGACCUUUGGGAUGAAAGGCAACCUCUUCAUGAAAGUUGUCGUUCAGGGAUGGGCCCGCGUACCAUUAGCUUGUUGGUGAGGUAACGGCUUACCAAGGCUACGAUGGUUAGCUGGUCUGAGAGGAUGAUCAGCCACACUGGAACUGAAACACGGUCCAGACUCCUACGGGAGGCAGCAGUGAGGAAUUUUGCGCAAUGGGGGAAACCCUGACGCAGCAACGCCGCGUGAGUGAAGAAGGCUUUCGGGUCGUAAAGCUCUGUCGAGUGGGAAAAAAGUCUGAUGAUUAAUAGUUGUCAGAUCUGANG
rnacentral:rRNA from 1 species